GGCCUCACUUUGCAGUUAGAGCCUUGUGCACAGCUCUGUAGUGUCCUGCUAAGCAGUGGUGGAGCCCAGAAGCAGAAUGUAAUUGACACAGAUGCAGUGCUUCCAAAAUGGGGCUUCAACUCAUUGUGCAGCUUUGUGACAUCGAAGGAGGCUGUGACUUUGAGAAGGGUAAUGGAGCCAGAUCCUUCAACAGUGUCAUCUGGGUGCCCAGCCCCCCUGGAGGUUUGAAUUCUAACAAAACCUGGAACAAAUCUGCUUGGUUUGGAGGUUUCAGCAGAUGGAUAACAAUAUGUGCAGAGGACAGGAAAGAAUAAAGCAACUUGGUAAAACGAAGAUCACAUAUUGCAGAACCUACUGACUGAAACCACGAAGCUCAGCAUCUGCCAGCAAAGGCUGCCUGAGGAAUUAAAGCACAGAAUCAGAGACAAUUACAGGAAUGCAGGACAAAAUUCAGACACUGGGGGUCAUCAGAUAGGCUUGCAAAAACAAACAGGCAGGUUUGCAGAAGUUGCAGACUCCUCCUGUGCAGGCAAGUGAGCUGAAAGUGCAGAAUGUGGAGUGUUGUUGAGAACGGGAGAAGAGGUGCAGAAGAGGCGCUGAUUCUCUUUGAGUUCUCUGCUGUUUCAGCACCUCAGACCCAGUGGGCCGGGGCCCUUGGGACAGCAUGUCGUGUGUAUGUAAGCUCCAGAGAUCUCAGUCAGCCCACCUUCCAAAUUAGGAGGAUGUUAAUUAAUCUUCUCUACAUCCUGUGCUCUCCUAGCAUCCUUUUCACAGGCAGGAGAGCACCCCUUUCCAAGCACUUUAUAUCCCAGCAGAGAAGGCAGCAAAGUGAGAGCUGGAGCCUCUGCUGACAGAUCACUUGGAUGAAUACGAAUAGGAAAAUUGACCCCAUCCUGGCUCCUGCUGUUCCCUGCCAAAGGAGGAGAUCGGUUUGUGUUGUCUCCUGCUGUCCUGGAUCUGACAGAAGGUCUCAGAAGUGCAGAGCCUUUCUCUGACCCACCUCCUGUGCCCCAAGCACACUUCCAACUAAACAGCACUGUGGUAUUUUACAAAUUGUGUUUAGCUUUUAAUGAUUUGCUAUAACAUGCUUGAUUAAAAACCCGACUAAAUUCCAAACCUAAUGAACCUUGAACUUUCACAUUAGAUACAUUAAUUAUGGUGGUCCCAGUGGCACGCUAGCACAGGAAAGUUAUCCUGCCACAUUAAUAUGAAAAUGAAGAGUUGCUGUAAGAACUAAAUUAAAAAAAAUAGACAAAUAAGACUCUACUGCUAAAGCAGUUGUGCCUCUGAAUUAAGUUACUGUCUUUUGUUUCUCCUCUUUAAUUAAUCAGAUGGCAGCAGCAGAAGCAACAUUCCCAAAGGCAUUGCUUAAAAAGCCAUGGACUGAUGGGAAGCAACAGAAAUAACCAACGACUUUGCCAUUGGUGCUUAGAUGCCAUAGCAAUGAUGAACGUGAGGUGCAGAGACAGAUAGAUCAAUUUGCUAUUCAUUAAUAUUA